UUGCUGUGAUGACCAUCUUAGGACACCUUUGGAUUAAAGAUGAAACUAAUCUUUUAAUCUGAGCAUC